CCUCAGAAUUUACACUCUCUCUCCUUUUGUGCCCCCAUGGACCAAGUUAAGAAGGUGUAGGCUUCAAAUCUGAAGAUUGGUCACCACAAAAUUCAAAGGGAAAACCUUUUAGGCCAAAGACCAUUGGAAGUGGCCCUGGUUCCUCCAUGUUUAACUCACUGGCCCCUAAUUUCUGCUGGACCUUCAUUUCAGUCGACUGUGUUUCAGGAGAUUCGGGCCGCAACACCCCUGAGUUUACCGGUUUUGGUCUCUUCCUUGUGACCUUCGGCUCCAGGAUGCAGCACAGCUCCUCACUGCACUAUUUAUCAGAAUGUUGCUCUGCAUGCUUGAAAGUUUCCCCAAACAGAGGUACAUAAAAACAAACAGAGGCGAAACACAAAUCCCAUCAGCCCUGGAGGAAAAGGCCUUGAAGCUCUUCCAGUGCAGAGGCCACGCAGAGGACAGGCUCCUACCUGUGCCCAUCAGCCACGCCUGGGGCGCCUCCUGGAGUCCAGGCUGCUGGCAAUGGAAUUCAUCAUGUUGCUGAUGUCACUGUAAGUUAAGUCGCAGCUGCCAGCUGAGCUAUGGGACAGUUUGAGGGAUGGCCAGAAGGUUUCUCCUGGAUGCCAUCUUCAGCAUACCUAGGAACCAGAGAAAAUGCAAUUCUUCGCAUGCCCAUCUCACUCCUGCAGCCUGGGGUCCCUCUUCAGUUUAUUUUUUUCUUUUUUCUUUUUUUUUUAAUCAUAAGCACAUAGUCAGGCUCUGGGACAUCAUGGAACCCAGCAGCCUGCUGAAAGGUGAAGCACAAGUCUAAAGUCCUGUUAGUUAUGAAAUCCAGCUCUCCUGGAUUAGGCAAGGGGAAAACCACAUCUUUAAGAUAUACUAGGGCAAGAAGUAAAGUAUAGAGAGCUGGCUCGACGAAAUUUUGUGUAUAAUAGGAGCCGUCCUAUGACUAAUAGUCACCUGUCUCAGAGACCUCAUGAUUAUUUCUGAGCUUUAACCAAUGAAUUAAUGUGGGUUCUAUCUGGCUCUUCUAACGUCUUUGGAAUGGUUCCUCAGGGAACCACAGCUAUCCGUAGAGAUAACAACCUGAAUACAAGCCCAUCGCCCGAUCAGAUGCUGCUCUUACUUGCAUGACUUGGUUCUAUUCUUGCCCAGUCCCACUGGGAUAGCAGUGGUAGCUAAACAGCUAAGCAGAGUGACCUCAUUAGAUUCUCCUCUAGUAUAAAGUCACAUGUUAACUCAUUUUUGGACUCAUAGUCAGAAACUUGUAAUUUUUCCUCAUUUUGGUAUGCAGCUAUUGCACAGUGGGGGAAAUAUGAGUCAAAAGACUUGCUCUUAUAUUCCAUCUUCCCCCUCAUUGCCUGGGUGUCUUUGGACCAGUUAAUCUUUGAGCCUCAGUUAUCUAGAAAAUGGGGACACUGCUACUUUAUAUUUUUUUUUUUUAGUGGGACCUAGAUAAGGUAAUAUGAAUAAAGGGGCUUUGUUUAUAUAUUGAAUGGCAUGAUGUUACGAUUACUAAAAGGAAAUAGCUAUUCUACUUACAUUACAAUGUGGUUUGAGGAUCAAAUUCAAUAAAAUAUGUGAAGAGGGCUUUGAAAAGUAGAAAGAGCUAAGCAAUGCAAAAUGCGUCGCUGCACUUGAAUGUAAUGGCUGGUGUCAUGUCAGCUGGAUUAACUGUGGUCACUAGUUCUCAUAUACCCAUUUGCUAGAGUAGCUGAGUCCUCUGGUCUACGAAAAAGGGCACAGAAGCUACAGAUACGAGAUCUGGUACUAUCUUUAUCACUACCUUUUUAUUGUGAGCACCUCAAUCAUUUUGAGAUAUUUGUCUCAUUUCUUUUACUUUGAAUAUGCAAAAACAACAGUCACCUCCUAAUGUGGCUGUUGGGAAAACACAACUGAAAUGGAUUCAGAAAAUAGCUUUUAAGGACAAAGUUAUGUGAAGGACAUAAAUUGUGCAUGAAGUCUUUCAGCAAUGAAUAGGCACAUCUCCACAUACCCCAGGAUCUUAAGCUGAUAAUGUAACAACAAGAACCUAUUGAAUCAGGACAAGGUGAUGGUUCUGCUCCUGUGGCAAUCUAGGUCUCAGAAUCUGGUAUGCAGGCAGGGUGUAGAGAGCAGAUUGCAUUUUCAGGAGAAAGGUUAAGCUUGAAUGUUUUGGACAGGAGGUGGUUAGAUGCAUUUUUAAAAAGUCCUUGAAUUUACCUGAUGAUUUUUGUGUCCUUGUGAUGGUUGUAGCCCAUUCCAGGAUAUGAAUAAAUUUAGCAACACAAAGGAGGUCAUUUAAAAAUCUUUCCCUCAGAUGCUCCACUUCCUCUUCCUUCUAGCUUUCUCCUCUUCUUCACUAAUUUGGCAACCUGCGAGGCUGCCCUUUUGAUCACUGGCAGUUUAGAAUAGUGAUAAGUGGUUUUGGAAAAUGUUAUUGAAACUUUUAUAGGAGAGUGGUGGAAGGAUGGAGAUUUCUAGAAAACCCUUAA